GCUAUGAAAAAAAAUAAUAUAAAGGAAUAGAAAGGGACAAAGGAGGUGCUGCUAUCUUAUAUGGCGUGUGAAGGAAACAGCCUCUCUGAGAAGGUGACGUUUCGCCAGACACCGAAAGGAAGAAGAGGAGGGAGUCAUGGGGAAACCUGGAGAUGAGGCAUUUCCAGGAAGAAGGAACAGAAAAUCCAAAGGCCCUAGGGGAGUGGAUUCUUAUCGAGUUUGAGGAAAGUAAGGAGGCCAGUAUGGCUGGAGUGGAACAAGUGAAAAGUAGAGAGGUGGGAGGUGAAACCCAACAGGUAGCUGGGGCCAGGUUCUACAGAGUUUUGUGGACCAUCGCAAAGGCUCUGAAUUUUCUUCUGCUCAAGACUUUCCAACAGCCUCCCAUCUGACUCAACGGGGCAACAUAUGGGCCUUCUGUUUUAUAAAGAUCACUCUGGCCGAAGGCUCCUUGGAUCAAGGAGUAAGUGAGCAGGUAACCAGGAAUAUUGGAGGAGCAAUCUUCUUAACAAAAACAUUCCUGUAGAGAAGUAGGGAGAAUUGAAGCUGGAGAAAGUAGACUGGGGAUGGUCUUGGUCGCCACGCUAAUUUGGGUUUGACCCUCCAACAAUCAAAGGGUUGGAGGAGGACACAAUACGAAAUACACGAUACAAGACUCAGAUUUCCUGUCUCAGAUGCAUUCCUGUGCAUGCUUCCCUUGGAUUAUCUCUUUGACUCUUUCCAAAACUCAUGCAGUCAGGCGCAUCUUGAUUGCUCUCACAGAAGUGGAACCUGAGACCAGGAGAGUUCAGAUAACUUAGUGAUGGUUACACAGUUAAGAAAGGGACACCUGAGAUUGUUUUCAUUGUUAUUUUAUAGUCCUUUUUUAAUAUUUCCAUACACUAAUAUAAAUAUUUACAGCCAAGUUAUUUAAUCAAGUGUUUAUGGACAAUUCCCAGCAACUCCUAACAAACUGUUUGUAGUGGAUGAACUAAUAAUUUCUCUGUAACACGUCCUGAAAACCUGUGUUUGGGGCCUGGGAGAGAAAGUGAAGGAACAUCGGUCAAUUGAGACACAGGAGGUGACCUAGAAGAAUGUGGAUCCUGCAUUCCUCAGUCCAGUCUUGAUGAUAUUGGACCAAAAUAAAAACAAUAAUAAUUGGUCUUAAAGUCAAAUUCAGAGUUUUUAAGAUAAGACAAAAUAUAUAGUUUCCUUUACAGGAUGCUUAUAAACAUCCAUAUAAUUACUCAGAAGGAAAUUCAGUAAGGAUUUUAGUCCUCAUUCUUCAAUUUCCACGGGCUAAGAUUGACAUCCCGAGGUGCCACACCCAGUGAGUGUUAAACUGUGCUAACGUCAGGUACCACUCUCUCAUCCCAGGAUUUAUUUCGUUACCCAACUCUGAAUUUAAUAUCUGAUUAUCAGUGUAGCCACCAUGAGAGAAGGGCCAGAUUUUCUAUAUCAGCCCUCCAUCAAAACCCCACAUUUCACUCCUAAAGAAAACAGGACAUCCUUCUGGCUUAGGGCAUUAUAUUCAACUUUGCCGACUAGAGAUUUCUCCUAUCAAACGUGGCUACCCCAGAUUUCUCCAUAGAAGUCAGACAUAGGAGUAAUGCGUUCUUCACAUUAAUCACACAGUAUAUAAGCCAGGAGCAGGGUGUCAGAGAAUCUCUUCUCGACAACAUCUUUUAUCCAUCAGUUUGAUUUUAUUUAGCAGAAAAGACAUCAGAGCUGGGGGCAGCCACCCCUUCCAGCCCUUCUAAGACUAAAGAUGAUCCCUACUGAUGCUGCUCAUCUUAGUUUCCUUAUCUGCAGAACCAGUGGACUCCUAACUCCUGAACAUUUAAUACUUGUCUUAUCAGAUUUAAUUGGCGAAACAUUUUGUUUUCUUAUACUAGUUCAAAAGGAAACUAAAUCAUUUGUAGGUGACUUGGCAAAAUUGAAUGCUGAUUAAAUUCAACUACAAUAAAAAAUUGGUUUACCUUCUACCUUUCCAGGCAAGGAAUAGAGAAGGAAACCAACUACUUCAACAUAAAUAAGAUGGUUGAACCUUUAGAAUUUUCCAAAGGAUUGAAUGGAAAUGUCAUGAAGAAUGAAAGCAAUGAGAUAGGAGAGCAACAUUGGCUUGCAUCCUUGCAUCAUUCUUCCUCUUAGCUCCACCUCCCUUAUCCACUUAUGUGUCCAUCUGCCUGUCUAUCCCUCUAUCCAUUGUCCUAUCCAUAUCCGCCCGUCAUCUAUCAUCCAUGUCUAUCUAUGAACAAUAUGUGCGGUUGUCUAUCCAUCUAUCUCUCUAUUCUUAUUUUUAAACUUUCUUUAUUUGACAAGCAUACACUGGGCACUUAUGACCUUAGUCAGUCCCUCUAUUAGUAGGGAUAUCAUAGUCAAUAAAGUAAAGACCUGCCCUCAGUUAGCUUAUUACGGAGAGAUUGAUGAGUGACUAUAAUGACACCUCAGUCCGAUAAACACUAUGAACGAGGUUAGCACAGGUUCUGUGGCGACUUGAAGGGGUGACACCUGAAGGAGACUCUGGAUGGAUAGCAAUUAAACCAUCAAGGAAGGCAGGAGGAGCAGGAUGCAGAAAGAACAGAAUGCACCAAGUUGUAGAGAUAUAAAAGAGAAGUCAGAAUCCGGCCAAUCCGGAAAGGUGCAUGUAGAAUCAAGUUAAAUCUUUGAUUGUACUUUGAACUUGUUUUCCAACAAGAGUCCUGAACGUAACUGGAACUCUGCCCAGAACACCUGCAAUCCAAACAUAAAUACUGCAGUGUGGUUUAAUUUAUCUUCCCAGAAAUAGGUGACUGCUGAUGUCAUGUAACACAUUCUGGCUGUCAACAGAGACUUGAGUGUAUUGUCAGUGCGUAGCAUAAACAUGAAUGCCGGGGUGUCAUUUGACACUAUCUGGAAAACAGGUUUCUGUUAAGAGAGGAACUGGUGGGAAAAACAAGGAAAAACAAAAGGAAGAAAGCAUCCCAGCACUGGAUGCGUGUAUUCUUUACCACCACUUGGAGAGUUUGCUAUUCCAUUUAAUAUGUUGCCAUCCCAGGUGAAAACAACAGAGAAUUUCAGUUAUUAUCCAAAUGGGAUUAAGAAUCUGCUUCCCACACUGACGUGCUGAUCUAACACACUUUCCUCUUUGGAUUUGGUCUUUUAAACACAGCCUAUUAAAAGUUGCUUUAAUUGGCAUUUUGUUAGAAAGUUAAUGCAAACUUACCAAAAAUAGCUUGUGAGAGAAGCAGAUAAGAACACAAAAGAAAAAUACAUUCUAAUUGCAUAAAUUCUUUUCUUUCAGUCAAGCUUCUUUUCAAAGGCAGUUUUAAAAAAAGUGGCUCAAUAAGUUACCGUUCGGCAGUCUUGUCUCUCUGGCAGCCUCCAUUCGCCCUUGAGGGAUCUCUUCCACUCCUGCUUCUAUCCCUCUGUCCAUAUGUUGUCGGUUAGAAGUCUUUCUUAUUCACCCAACCAAUGCUAUGGAUGAUGUAUUGCGUAUUGCCCCUUGCUACACACUAUCUCAGUUGGUUUGACUCUGUUCUGUUUACCCCUUUGCUAAGAAACUACCUGUUCAUGUGUGUCCUUUGAGAGCUGUUCAUAAAUCCUGUGUCACAGAGGUUUCACUAUAGUCAAUUUUUGUUCUUCUCAAACACAAAGAUCCACAUUGCCCAUCUUGUGCCAGGUAACAAAGGUAAAAUAGACUCAUAGUCCUCCCCUCCAAAACGCACAUUGACCUGUGGG
ensembl:lncRNA